GCGUGCGUGCGCGCGUGGUUCGUUCGUGUCUCCUGGCUAGUAAGUACUGAGGGCUUCAUCUAUCUAAAAGGAGUCAUUUCCAUCUGAAUGUGACAGCACCGGGACACAGCAGCAGAGCGUUAAGCUUCAUAUCACUCUAAAAUGUCGACAAACUUUACUUUAGAUUACGGGCAUUAGCAGCACUAAAGCGUUAGCAUCCGGCUUGCUAUCGCUAGCACAGUAUGCUAGUAAAGUUAGCACCCAGAUUAAUGUGGAUUUGGCUGAUUUUCGUGGAAUAAAACGUGAUUUCUGAUCAACGCCUUCUUUUACACCAGAUGUACAUCCACUGAUUGUAGCAGCAGAGAGCCUGUGUGUUAUUUUACGUGAAUGUGAUGUAAUCUUAGCAUCCAGUAAAUAAAGUCCCAGUAAAUAAAGUCCCAUAUCAGCUAAAAUGCAGCGUGACAAAGUCAUUAAAGUGUGUCAACACAGUGGAUUUAAUAGAGUUUUAAAGAACAAUCUCUGAGUGAAGUGAGGUUAGUUUUUUGUCUCACUGCAGAUAUAAAAACGAACUCUGCAUCAGUCAGACGCAGCAAAGCUCACCGUCUGUAUGAGCGUGAGCAUCGGAAAGCUGAUCAAAUCAGCUGUAAAAUAAUUAAAACAAAGUAAAAAUGUUCCUUUGCUUUUUACAGUCCACAUCCAGAAGACUGGAGCCGUGUUUCACUGACAGGCUGUCAGACUAACGCCCUGAUGAGCUCAGCUGGGACAAACUGGUCUGAUGUUUAGGAACACAGAACGCUCAGAUGAUGGAGCUCACGUCACCUACUGAGGAAGGAGACCCACCAGUAAAGAGACGGUCUGGACCAGACCAAAAAUAUGGCGAUGACAUCAUGGAACUGGUCUUUGGAAAAGUUUUCCCUGAAUCAACUCCGUUUCUAGAUGAGGUAGAGAAGAUCUGCAUCUCACCAACCCUCUAUUCUCAGUAUUCAGACAACGGAGGUCUCCC